CCUACGGGGGGCUGCAGUGAGGAAUAUUGGUCAAUGGCCGAGAGGCUGAACCAGCCAAGUCGCGUGAGGGAGGACGGCCCUAUGGGUUGUAAACCUCUUUUGUCAGGGAGCAAGGGACAGGUCGUGACCUGUUGUGAGAGUACCUGAAGAAAAAGCAUCGGCUAACUCCGUGCCAGCAGCCGCGGUAAUACGGAGGAUGCGAGCGUUAUCCGGAUUUAUUGGGUUUAAAGGGUGCGCAGGCGGAGGCACAAGUCAGCGGUAAAAUCGCGGGGCUCAACCCCGCUCCGCCGUUGAAACUGUGUCCCUUGAGUGCGCGAAGGGUAGGCGGAAUGCGUGGUGUAGCGGUGAAAUGCAUAGAUAUCACGCAGAACUCCGAUCGCGAAGGCAGCCUACCGGCGCGCUACUGACGCUCAUGCACGAAAGCGUGGGUAUCGAACAGGAUUAGAUACCCUUGUAGUC
rnacentral:rRNA from 1 species